rnacentral:rRNA from 1 species
CCUANGGGGGGCAGCAGUAGGGAAUAUUGGUUAAUGGGCGAAAGCCCGACCCAGCAACGCCGCGUGCACGAAGAAGGCCUUCGGGUUGUAAAGUGCUUUUUAGUGGGAUGAGGAAGGACAGUACCACUAGAAUAAGUCUCGGCUAACUACGUGCCAGCAGCCGCGGUAACACGUAGGAGACGAGCGUUAUCCGGAUUUACUGGGUGUAAAGCGCGUGCAGGCGGUCUGGUAAGUUGGAUGUGAAAGCUCCUGGCUUAACUGGGAGAGGUCGUUCAAAACUGCCGGGCUAGAGUGCAACAGAGGGGAGUGGAAUUCCGAGUGUAGCGGUAAAAUGCAUAGAUAUUCGGAAGAACACCAGUGGCGAAGGCGGCUCUCUGGGUUGCAACUGACGCUCAGACGCGAAAGCUAGGGUAGCGAACGGGAUUAGAUACCCCANUANUC